rnacentral:lncRNA from 1 species
GAAAUUCAAAAGUUUCCAACAAGAAGGUGGGCAUCAUAUUUCUUUAUUUUGACAAGUUAAAAUCUAAUUUUUACUUCCACUACUUACUACACCUCGCAAGAUCACUGAUGAAUAUCCACGAAUCAUAAAAUUAUAAAAAGAGGGUUGACAAAUCAAAGGGCAAACCAAAAAAAAAACAAAGAAAAAAGAAGGCAACGUCAGUGCGAGUUCAGGCUUGCAUAAGACAAUAUGUACACGUGUAAGGAGGAUAGUAUAGGAGGAAAGAGCGGGAAUGAAGGAGAGGCGAUCCACGUGUAAGGCUGGAUGAGGGAUACCCACAUGUGAAGAUAAGGGGCCAUGAUGAUGUUUUAGGUGGGAUCCACUUAACAAGUGGGGGCGGUGGCCGUCUGUUCCAUCCAUCGCCAGCUGCCUGCUGCCUGCUGCCUGCUGCCGGCUGAGGACGACUCUCCCUCCCUCCCACUCACUCGCUCACUCGUUUUUUGUACGAAUCGCAAUCAUUUAUGCACCUUCUCUAGUCCCCAGAGAGAUCAUGCCUCCUUGCUUUUGAUGCUGACCUGUUUUCAUCCCUUUAUUCCAAUUUUUUUCUUAAACAAAAAAUUGCAUAUCAAAUUUAUAAAUAGAUCUUCCUUCUAAUUAAACUAAUCCUCUUAUAUAGGACAAGAAAGAUCUCUAACUUCUAACUCAUUAAUCUACCUUACUUACUAUAACAAAUGAUAAUUAAACUUGAAGACAAUGGCACAUACCUAUUUUUAUGGAUAUUCAUUCCUAAAUCACGAUUGACCCUGUUUUCUUCUGAUCAUUAGAGCCUAGAGAUGGGCUGAAGCUACAAUAGUUAUUGGAGACCGUAGCAGACCAAGCCCAACGGCUUUCGUUCAUUUUGGUCUCUAUAAUAGCCAUAAGUUUUGGUAAAAAAAGAAGAGCUAAAAGGAAAAGUCAUAAGCAAAAGCUGUCCUAGGGCUUUUAUAGUCGCUUAUUUCUCAAGGACUGGACUGGAGCCCAAUGAUCCUCUAGUCCUGUUGGAAAGCUUUCUACGUCGGUCUAAGAGGCCAAGACCCAAUCCCCAUUAACAACCUAAACACACAAAUAUUAAAAAACUAUAAUGUAUAUACAUCAACCCAAACCAGAGAAUCGAAAUUCCCACGUAACUGAAUAUUCUCCUGUAGAUUCUUUUAAUGUAAUUUAAUCACCUUGUCAGAGAAGAUUGCAGCACUUUGACUUCUCUGGGUCCUGUACGAAGUCAAACUCACACCAGCCUAUAACCACCUCACCACUCCUCAUUUUACACGUCGUACAGAUCCUAAAUCCCGUCGUCGUCGUUUUUAGAGAGGAGGCUAGCCACUUGUCAAUCACCCCCCCAAAACCCAAUUGCAAUUUACACGCAUAGAGACACAUGUAAUCAAUUAAAUAAAUAAAUGAAAGCCUAAAAACCAAACUCUUAAACUUUACCGUACAAACAGAAGCAGAAGCGGAAAGCACAAGCAAGGGACAAAGAUGAAGCCAGAGACGGCGACUC